rnacentral:tRNA from 1 species
ACAGCGGUGGUUUAAAAAAAAUUUAGGAUUGUGGUGUCUAAGAUACGGGUUCGUUCGUUGUA